CCUGAUAUGAUUUUUCCUUGAGCUUCAUACAAUGUAGAGAAAUUAAUUUGAUGAUAGAAAACCAAGAGUUCUGUUAGUCCUAUGAUUUAAUUAUCUUUUUCUCAAGCAUAUUGUGCAAAUUGAUUCUCUGUUCCUCUGAACAUUGUUUUAUCAGUAUAUUGCAAUAUCUGCUAAUACCUUUGCCUUAAUACUGCAUCAUAUCUUCUGUAUUCUCAACAUUACCCUCAUGAUUCACAUUACAGAUCAUCCUUGGCUGCAGAAUGCCAAUAAGACACCCAAUGUAAAUCUUGGUGAAAUUGUUCGAGCAAGACUCCAGCAAUUUUCAAUGAUGAAUAAAUUUAAAAAGAAAGCUCUUAGGGUGAUAGCUGAACACUUGUCUGUGGAGGAGAUUGCCGACAUAAAGGAAAUGUUUGAGAAUAUGGAUAUCAACAAAAAAAGGGCAGAUAAAUUUUGAUGAGUUAAAGUAUGGUUUGCGCAAGCUCGGACACCAGGUUGCUGAUUCAGAUGUCAAAGCAUUAUUGGAAGCGGUAAGUUAUUGCUGAAGAUGCAAUCUUUUUUUU